ACUAUAUCACCAAAUUAAACCUGUUUUUAGAGUUUCUCCGAAAGCUUGCAUUAAUUUAAAUUGGGAAGAAUACAUGUAACACAAAAGUUAGUGUUACUUCUGCUUUUAUAAAUGAAAAAUAUUGUACUGAAAGUACAAAAAGGGAAGGAAGUUGUGUCCAUUAAGAAGAGGAUGCUGGUGUCAGUCCUGUGGGUGUCACAUGGUAAAUGAACACAUUAGGUGCAGCUUAAAAUUUUUCUUUAUAAUGCCGCAAAAAAGAAAGAUGAAACUCAUGGUGAAGUUUCUUGUGAACGUAAUAACUUUUUUCUUGCUUGAUGGAUCAUUGUAUGUCAAAGGGCAGGAAUAUGCACUAUUUCAAGACAACAAUAGCAUCGGAUGCAAAUUGUCAGAUCAAACAAAAGAAUAUAUUCAGUGUAUGGUGUAUGGUAAAGAAGGCUUAUCUUUUACUAAUGUUAAGAAUAUAUCACAAAAUUAUUGUGUUUUUGCAUGUCAUCAAUAUGAUCAUAAAUCAUUAAUUAAGUACACAUGCCAUGAUAUAUUCAUCGCCCUUUCAAUACAAGGUAGGUAAACUAUUUAUGUAUUAUCCACUAAUAAAUGUUGGUCAACAUGUAUGUUAAAGUUAAAAAGUGAGCUAAAC